rnacentral:tRNA from 2 species
GGGCCCGUAGCUCAAUUGGUAGAGCGCCUGCUUUGCACGCAGGAGGUCAGGAGUUCGAUUCUCCUCGGGUCCA